AUUGAACGCUGGCGGCAUGCUUUACACAUGCAAGUCGAACGGCAGCGCGGGCUUCGGCCUGGCGGCGAGUGGCGAACGGGUGAGUAAUACAUCGGAACGUGCCCAGUAGUGGGGGAUAGCUCGGCGAAAGCCGGAUUAAUACCGCAUACGUCCUGAGGGUGAAAGCGGGGGAUCUUCGGACCUCACGCUAUUGGAGCGGCCGAUGUCAGAUUAGCUAGUUGGUGGGGUAAAGGCCUACCAAGGCGACGAUCUGUAGCUGGUCUGAGAGGACGACCAGCCACACUGGGACUGAGACACGGCCCAGACUCCUACGGGAGGCAGCAGUGGGGAAUUUUGGACAAUGGGCGAAAGCCUGAUCCAGCAAUGCCGCGUGUGUGAUGAAGGCCUUCGGGUUGUAAAGCACUUUUGGCGGGAACGAAAAGGACUGUGCCAAUACCACGGUUCGAUGACGGUACCCGCAGAAUAAGCACCGGCUAACUACGUG
rnacentral:rRNA from 1 species